rnacentral:rRNA from 1 species
UACGUAGGGUGCAAGCGUUGUCCGGAAUUAUUGGGCGUAAAGAGCUUGUAGGCCGUUUGUCGCGUCUGCUGUGAAAUUUCGGGGCUCAACCCCGAACUUGCAGUGGGUACGGGCAGACUAGAGUGUGGUAGGGGAGACUGGAAUUCCUGGUGUAGCGGUGAAAUGCGCAGAUAUCAGGAGGAACACCGAUGGCGAAGGCAGGUCUCUGGGCCACUACUGACGCUGAGAAGCGAAAGCAUGGGGAGCGAACAGG